CAGUCAUGUGUUUCAAAAACAUACAGAGGCCUGCAAGGGAUGAAUGAUAUUAAGCGAGGAGGAAAGAUCAAAACCGAAAACCAACCUGCUGAAUAAAAAAAUGCAAAACUCCUACUAGAGCUAGCAACCCACAAGGAGCAAUUAUCCAUAUCCAGGAUGUUAUUAGUGCUUUGGACUCAAUGCACUUGCUCCUGUUGCUAUUUUUUUAACAAGUUUAAUUUUGUGGGAGAAAUUCUUCGCACCCCAGAGGAUCCAAUUGCGUACACCCUGAAGUGGGGCGAAGUUUUUUUUGGUUUACAGGACGUGCGCCAGGGACCUGACAACACAUAACACACACAUAGAUUUAAGAACCACACAAAUGGCUCGCUGACCCUGUGAUCUCACAGUCAUGCACUGCGAGACGAUAAUGAUGAAUGUUCGUUUUGAUAUAACUCGUUCACUUUCACGCAAAUUAUUACUUCUGGAGUAAAAAAUUAAAAUAAAAAAUUCGGUGAAGAGGAAUUCCCUUUUGUCUUGUUUUUGAUAAUAUAAAACUACUAGUUAAAUAAGAUGAAGCUGAGACUAACCUUAACCCUAACGCUAACCCUAACCCUAACCCUACAACGAAUUUUAUUAAAUUAGCGAAGAACCAACCGGAAACUCCGAUUUAAUGUACAAACACGAGUGCUUACUCUCUUUCAACAUCCUAAAAAUACAUGUCCAACCAUUAAAUACACUAGUUUCCUUGUCAAUAAUUUUAACAUCGGAACGUUGAUGGAAAUUAAAAUGAAAAACAUCUUCUGCUGAUAUUGGAUAUUUGUUGUUAUUGCUGAAUAAACCUUGUCCAACAACAGUAAUCCCCUCUUAUCCACCCUUUCAUCAGCAAUAACGUCAUUCACAAUAAACAGGACCUCACAACCUGCCAAUUUCCUUAGAAAACCAAUAACUUUAAACAACUUAUUAUCGGGUUAGGUAGUUGUGACUUGUUGGUAGUUAGAUGGUUAGAGAGUUGUGAUUUGUUAGCAUCUAGUUGGUUAGGUAGUUUUUAUUUGCUGGUAGCUCGGUGGACAGGUAGUUGUGAUUUGUUAGUAUCUAGUUGGUUAGGUAGUUGUGAUUUGUUAGUAUCUAAUUGGUUAGGUAGUUUUGAUUUGCUGGUAGCUCGGUGGAUAGGUAGUUGUGAUUUGUUAGUAUCUAGUUGGUUAGGUAGUUUUGAUUUGCUGGUAGCUCGGUGGACAGGUAGUUGUGAUUUGUUAGUAUCUAGUUGGUUAGGUAGUUGUGAUUUGUUAGUAUCUUGUUGGUUAGGUAGUUUUGAUUUGCUAGUAGCUCGGUGGAUAGGUAGUUGUGAUUUGUUAGUAUCUAGUUGGUUAGGUAUUUGUGAUUUGUUAGUAUCUAGUUGGUUAGGUAGUUGUGAUUUGUUAGUAUCUAGUUGGUUAGGUAAUCGUGAUCUUGAUGUGCGGUAGUUGAUUAGAUGGUUUUUUAAUAAUUGAGUAUUUAAAUUUGUUUGUUAAUGCCUGGUUGUUUGGUGGAUUUUUGUAUGUUUUUGAAAAUUUUGAAGGUUAAUCAGAAUUAUGGAAGGUUUAGUUGAUGGUUGCGGUGUAGAUAGUUGUGUUGGCUUGAAACGUGAAAUAUUGAUUGCCUGUGUUAGUGGCGGUGGUACAAAAAAAAUAUCUCGGUAAAUAUUAUACGGAGGAACAGAUUGGUGCCUUGUCGUUUGUUGAUGUUGAAAAAUCGGUUGUUGUGCGAAAAAUAUAGAGAAGAGAGAUUCUAAUCCAAGAAAAUCUAAUCCAAUUUACAAAACGGAUUACAAAGAUCCCUAAGUAAAUUAGUGAAGUUAAGGAACUUCAGAAUAACCUCCAUCAUACCAGUGAAUUAAGUAUUGCUAGUGCAAUGUUGUUGAAGUUGUUAAGGUCCCUGCGCCGAAUUUAGGUAAAGUGCAUUAUAGUGACCCCGUCAAGUUGUUUGGGAUUUUUGGUGCGUCCAUAUUUACGAAAGAUUCUUUUCUCAAGCAGAAGAUUAUUUCUGCAAAUAUUUAAGUAAUAAAAUGUUAAUUUAUUCUGGUUGUAUGACUGUGGAUCACUAACAUGAUUUUAAUGAGGACUUAGUUAGAAAGUCAUAUAGCGAGACGGGAUGGAUGAAAGUAGGGUCAAGAAGAUUAUUGCUGAUAAGCCAAC